rnacentral:rRNA from 1 species
GAAAGCAUCUAAGUGCGAAGCCCCCCUCAAGAUGAGAUUUCCGAAGCGAAAGCAGUAAGACACCUUAGAGACGAUGAGGUAGAUAGGCCGGGAGUGGAAGAGCAGUGAUGCUUGGAGCGGACCGGUACUAAUAAGUCGAGAACUUGACCAAAAA